UUCGUCGGUAUGUCAUCGGAAUAACGUUAUUCCGACGACAUACCGACGAUUUUUCCCCUCAGUAUGUCGCUGUUUUCUUGUAGUGUUAAUUUGAGAUUGAGGGUAUCAAAGUAAACGGGGUUUAAUUCAACGUUAAAUUAAAAUUUGGUUUACUCAAACCCAGAUUUCUAUGGAAAAAUCUGCCACUUUGUAAAUAAAAAAAACUGCUACAAAUUUAAAUCAGAUAUAUAAUUCUGCCAUAAAAAUUUAAAUCUAACAAAACAAUCUAUCAUUUAUAGAAAAUCUGUUGCAUCAUAUGACAGACAUAUCUCAAAAAAUCUAUUUUCCAAUCAAAAUCGGACAAUCAACUCUAUCGAAUGAACAAAUCUGCUAUAUCAUUCAGCAGAUAUAUUUCUUAAAAAUCUGUUUUCAAAUAAAUCGGAUAAUCAACUCUGUCGUAUAAAAAAAUCUGUCGUUUUUAAGAAAGUCUGUAACCACACUACAGUCAGAUUUAUUUUUCUAAACAGAUCUUAUAGAUAGACUUAAUAUUUGAUAGAUUUAUUUUUUUGGAAACAAAUAUGUCAUCGAUCACUUUGUGAGGGCAAUUUUGUAAUCCAUUUUGUUUACUAUAACUAUACAAAAAGACAGUUUAGACCAGAAAAAAAGAUUCUAAUAAUUUUUAAAAAAUAUGACUUAUUCUAGUAAUAACACAAUAAAUUUGUGUCUAAACUUCCCUUAAUUUAAAUAUAUACUAACUUUUUGUUAUAAAGAUUUAUGUUUGGUUUGUAAUCACUAGAAGUUGUAGGAAACAUUUAAUGAUACGUGUUUUGUGCUUCUUCUAUGUUUAAUUAAAAUGUAAAAAUGUUUAAUCAAAAUAGCUUUGUAAGAUCUAGAAGUUAUGUAGCUGGAAAUAGUUAAAGAUAUGAAAUGAAAAACAUAUAAUCUAAAUCUUUUUCUAAACCGAGAAUAAGCCGCAUUGAGAAUGUUGUUAACCUUAACGAUUCUAUGUUUCUUCUACAAUGGAGUCCAUGGAACAGCUUCUCUAGAGAUUGAUAUGAAAUUAAAGGCUCUUAACAAGCCUGAACUAAAGACGAUCAAAGUAUGAAUUGGUUAUGAAUUCAAUUAUAUUACCAAUUGUAUUAUAGCGUGUAUCUUCUUGUCUUUGAUAUCUCAAAUCGAUUAUUAUUCAUAGAGCGAAGAUGGAGAUAUAAUAGAUUGUGUGGAUAUCUAUAAACAACCUGCUUUUGAUCAUCCCGCUUUAAGAAAUCACAAGCUUCAGGUAAACAACUCUACUCACGUGCGCCAUUUGGUUCAUGCACGCAUGCACGAAUCAAAUACAACAAAAGAACUCUACAAGUUGUUUCUUUACUCGGUCUACAUUUAUGCAUGCAGAUGAAACCGAGUAUGGAACUUGGUUCAAGGGAGACAAAUAGUCCAAAGGAUGGGUCUUCAAAACCGGUUACAUCCCAGAUUUGGACCUAAUCUGGUCAAUGUCCGGUAGGAACAAUACCAAUUCGGAGUCAGUAGGGAAGACAUAAGCAGGACCUCCUCACCAUCUAGCUUUGGAAGAAAACCUCCUCACAUAUACAAUACUCUAGAAAAAGCACACCAACACAAGGCUUAUACCAAUUCAACAGCUGGAAACAAACACAACCCUCGCCCGAAAAACCGUUCGGUAUGUAAAUUAUAAGCGGUUGUUUCCUUUAACAUAUGUCUUGCUAUACACUACAAAAAAGAAUGAUUAUGGGCACAAAAUCUAUUGUACCUAUAACCAAUAUUUUGUAGCUUGUUGAUCAAUAGCUACCCGUAGAAACAAUAAAAAUUCUUAGCGUUUAGCUUAUUUGAUUUACAUUAGUUUUUAAUUUGUAUAGAUGACAAGAUUAGUUUUUAACUUACAUAUACUUCAACAAAAAUCAUUUCCAUUCUUGACCUAAAGUUUAUACUUGCCAACCAGUAAAUUAACUAAGAUCUUCCUAUGUUUAGCUAAACAACCUUCUUCUUUGUUGAUGAUAUAGGAUGUUUUUCGCAGUAUAAGGUCCAACUAUCUUGGCGCUCAAACCAAUAUAAAUGUUUGGAAUCCAUCAGGAGUUCAAAAGGGCGACUACAGCUCCGCCCAAAUGUGGUUGCUUGCUGGUGAUCAGUCGGAAAUGUCUGAGGUCAUAGAAGCUGGUUGGAUGGUGAAUCCACGUGUUUUUGGUGACAACCGCACACGGUUCUUUGCCUAGUGGACCAAAGAUGCCUACCGUAAAACAGGUUGCAUCAACCUCUUAUGCUCGGGCUUUGUGCAAACAAGUAAACAUUUAGCCUUAGGAGCAGCGAUAGAACCUGUUUCAAGAAGCGGGCAUGAGCAAUAUUACAUAACCGUUAAAAAUAUACCAGGUAAUUUUUUUUACUAAUAUAUUCAUCCUUCCAAUUCUAUGUACUCUUUUAUGGAGUAUUUAGUAUCUGGUGAGCAUUAUUCUAACCCUAAUCCUCUAUCUUGGACCGUGUUUCCAGGAUUCGCAGAGCAAGAAUUGGUGGCUGGCGAGCCACGACAACGUGUAUGGAUACUGGCCAAGAGCAAUCUUUAAACACCUACCACAGGGUGCCACCGCAGUGCAGUGGGGUGGAGAAGUCUAUAGUCGUAACGUGAGGAAAAAGCCACACACCAAAACUCCAAUGGGAAGUGGAGAGUCGCCAAUUCAACUCUUGGGCAAGGCUUGUUACCACACUUUCAUAAGGAUUAAAGACGCUUCCAUGCAUCCCAAGUAUUCUAUGCCCCUUGCCGAGUUCUCGGAUGAGAACCAGUGUUACACUACGAUUCUCCACAAGGAAACAAACGUGUCGGAGCCGUAUUUAUACUUCGGAGGGUCGUUGCUCAAAAAAAAAAUAAAAAAAAACUUCGGGGGGUCUGGUCAGAGUCCUCUCUGUCGUAGACCUCAGUCUUCAGUUUCAUAGUUUGCUCAUGACUUGUCUGAUCUAGAAAGGAUAAAAGAGAUUGUUAAAUUAUAAGCUUAUGAAAUCUGAAAAUUAUAAUAAGAAUGAUCAAACACUAAGGACGACUCCAAAUUUACUGAGCAGAAAUCCCACACAAAAGAGAAGACUAAUCGUUGAUGAUGAACUAACGUAGAAAGUCAAAUGGAGAAUUUAAAUGUCGGAUUUCGUAGAAAAUAAAAUAUCACACACAAUAGGCAUGUUCAUUCCGGAUUUCGGUAUGGUUUGGGUUCUGUUUUUCCGGUAUUUCGGGUUAUAAAAGUUAGCUACCAUAUUAAAACCAUAUCUAAUUUGGUUUUGUUCGGUUUAUAUACUAUCGGUUUCCGGUUUAUUCGGUUUGUAACAAAAACCAUAACUAUUUAUUUUUUAUUAGUUUAUAUAAUUGGAAAUCAGAUUUAUUAAAAAAUAGAUAUAUAAUAGUUUCCUGUUUUAUUUAACUACUAAAAUAAAAGUAAGAAAAAUAGUAAUAUCAUCAUAUUAUUAUAUAAUUAUAAUAUAUCACAAAUAUUUACCAUUAAAAAUAAAAAAUCAUGUUUUAUAUACUUUGAUGAAAAUGAGAAAACUAAAACAACUUUUU